GGGGAUGUAGCUCAGUUGGUAAAAUGCUUGCCUAGCAUGCAUGAGGCCCUGGGUUCGAUCCCCAGCUUUCCUA